UUUUUUUUUUAAUUUAUCAUCCAAAGCUGUUUGUAGUUUUGGCUUCCAUUGAUCAACUUCAUCUUUUCCUGUUUGGUCUUUCUUUUAAAUGCUCCUUACCAUGGCUUCUACAGCAAUGUAGUUUUCCUCCCACUACUCUGUCCAUUAUCUCUCAGAUGUCUUUGCUGGGGCCUCCUCCCUUUCUUCUGGAAAAUGUGUACAUUCCCUAGGAUUGUGCUUGUGAUUCUUUUUUCUUUCUGGUUCUCUCCUGUCAAUCAGGGGACUCGGGAGCCCACCCCUUCCUCCCCAGCAGUAAUUUUACCUGUUUCUGUUCAUCCCCCUCAUCUACUUUCUACUACUGCUAUCCAGGUUCCACCCUGGCCCCUUCCCUCUCUCCUGAUGACUGUGUCCUUCCUGUACUGACAAAGCAGAUCUGGAGGCUGUGAGCCUUAGCUUUUUGUUUCACAAAAAUUUGACCUCUAAAUGAACUCACUGUGACCUCCUGACUUUCAGUUUAUGAGGGAAAAGUGUGCCUUUAUCUGUUCAAGACCAAUCCUUGUUCAUGAUCCUAUCUCAUUCUGUCCUUUCUGGGAAUAGAACCUUGUUCUAGUAAUUAUUUCUUCUCUACAUGAUAUUUUCAACUUAUCCCUGUUUAUUGUUUGGAGCCUACACACAUGCUCAGGUCUCUCCAAUCCUUAAAAACGUCUGCCUCUGUUCAGUGUUCUCUCUAGCUACCAUCAUCCUAUCUUGCUCUUUCCCUGCAAAGCCAGGCUUCAGUAAGGAAGAGUCUAUAGAUGCUCUAUUUCCUCUCUUUUAACUCUUCAGUUCAGGUUCUAAUGUCAGCUUUCUGCCCCUACUCAGGUCUCCAGGGACAUUGAAUUGCCUCACAUCACUCGUGUUACUUAAUUUCUCAGCAGCAAUUGACACUGCCCACCACACCCCCUUUUUGAGACUUUGCUCCCUUGGUUUCCUGAUCAUUCUUUUGUCCUGGGGGCCCUCCUCCUUUCUCAUUCCUCAAGUUGUUUUUCUUCCCAUCCUUCCCACUGCCCUCAAUCCCCCUCUAUAUUCUCCUCCUCCUUUUUUCUCUUUCCCCAUUGAUUCUCUCCCUUUGUCUACAAGUUUAAAGCCCAUUUUUACAGCAUGGUACAGAUAAAUGGCAGAUGUUGUUCACAAGCUGAACACCUCCUAUGGGAGUGUCCACGUUGCUGGCCUUAAUGUCUUCUUCAACAUAUUGAAAGGCAGAUUAUUCUUCCCAGCCAGGCCAGCCUCCUCUUCAUUCCAAGAGCACAUUAUAUUCCUGUAGCAGGUGCAUCUCAGACCAUGAGAACACAACUCUGCCACAUACUUGAAAAUUCCAUCAUCACUGCCUUGACAAUGUGUACAGUUAAUUGGAAUGUCACUGCUCAAGUCUCAGAAUCUUGCCUGGGUGCCUCCGCAUGUGAGAGGAGCGAUGUAGAAAAAUAUGGGAAUGACUUGAGCACAAAAAUGGAUGGGAAUGGAGAAGUGGUGGCUUCCUGAGCUGCGAUGGACAGGAAGUCCAUGUUCACAGACACAUCUCUCUGCCUUUACUGGGAUCACUUCCAAAAAUGAAGGGAUCCCCAGAAAAGCAACCAAUGCAUGGUGACCUGAAAACCUUCUGGGGGCUUUGCUUUGCUUGGUUUGAAAUGGUGACACAUAAGCUUACACUGGUUAAGUAAACAGGCAACAUUGAACAACAUUUAACCUGGAUGUUGUGGUGGAUUGCAAAAGGUCACUGUAUUCUUUAGUUAACAUUUGUAGUGUCUCCACGUCUGCUUUCUUCCAGAACGGGAAGCGGAAGUUCUAAACUACCGCCAACUCUUGGUAUUUCCGGCCUUGCUGAGACCAGAAAGCAGCGGAAGAGACAAAUCUUUCUUGUGAGAGUUCCCAUUUGAUUUUCAAAUCAAGGUGCACAGGAUCAAAGGUCUCUUGAGUACAGAUCAGCAUCCCAAACUUUGAUGCUUAUCUAAAUAAACAGCUUGAAACUCUGCUCUAGUAGUUGUAACACAGGCAGGUGACUGAGAUAAAGAGGUAAAUCAGCUGCUAAGGAAUGAGGGGAAAUUCCCACCUAAUAGCCAAAAGCAACAAUAUUUGAGCAUGUGAUUGCCUCUUUUUUUAAUUUUCUAAGGUAUGGUGAUCAACACCUUUAAUAAAUUGAAGAUGGAAGGUCUUAGACCUCGAGUAAAUUGGAGGAAAAAUCGUUUCCACAAAUGGAUUCUUUCAUUAUGAUAAAAAAUUGCUGAAGAUCUUUAGGGAGUCACCCUGCCAAGAAUUUUGGCUGCAGUUGAACUAGUUAAUAUACUUUUGUUAUAUGAUCUCUAAAAUAACUUAAAGCAUAUGGACAUAGAAGAAACAGAAAAGAUCAUACCAUGUUUUCUGUGUAUUAUUUAGCUUAGAUUUUCUCUUGAAAUGAUAUGUGAUUUUUUUUAUAGGGAAAAAUAAUUAUUCACACUAUAAGAAAUCAACAGAAAUUUAGAUUAUUUUUAAAAUAGUGAAACUUCUAGAUGGAAACCUUGGAAGAUAAUCUGUGAAUAAAAAGAGUGCAUUUGGUGUGUCAUUGGGCAAACUGAUAAAACACAUUCAUCUUAAAGGGAGUUGAGGAAUUUCUACUGUCCCCAGAGCUUCCGUUGUUUCCUCAUCACAGCAUAGAAAAGCUGUAAGGCAUCCGCUGGGUGUAUGGCAGCUCUCUAUGCAGCUUGUAGACCACAUCAGUCCAGCACAAAGUCCCACCAGGGGGAAGCCUGAUGUACUCCGACUAGAGCUCUUUGGAUUUACAUAAGGUUUGGUUUACAGAAUUUGGCUAACAAAGUACAAUUUUUAUUAUACUGACUUGUUUACAUGUUAUGCUUGACUCCUGUCUUUUUGUUUCACACUCCAAAGCAAAUGGUGACUCUACCUCAAAAAUCACACCCAGGAUCUGACAACUCCCCUUCACGUGCAUUGUUCAUAGGAUUCAGACUGAACCUGUUAGGAUAAUCCCAUCCAGGAUAGCAUAUUGCACAUUAGGAUUCUCUAGACCAUGACAAGAAGUCUUGAGGCUAUUCUUGGAAGGAAGACGACAGAUGGUUUUCUCAUCACGUCAUAUCCAGAGUAUGUGCUAUCAACUAACUUCUCAUUGUUGAUGUUAACUUUGAUCACGUGGUGGAGUUAGCACUGGCCAGGUUUCUCCCCUGUAAAGUUAUUACCCCCCUUUCUUUACUGUAUUCUUGAGGGGUAGUCACUAUGUGCAGCCCACGUUUGAGGGGUGGGUAUUUAUCUUCCAUGUUUUUGACAUGGGGUUAUGUACCUAUAUUAUUUACAACUCUUCUGCAUAGGAGAAGAGUCAUUUACUUGUUUAUUUGU